rnacentral:rRNA from 1 species
UACGUAGGCAGCGAGCGUUGUUCGGAAUUAUUGGGCGUAAAGAGUGCGUAGGCGGUGCUCUAAGUCUGUCGUGAAAUCUCCCGGCUCAACUGGGAGGGUACGGCGGAAACUGGAAUGCUAGAGUGUGGGAGAGGUAAGCGGAAUUCCUGGUGUAGCGGUGAAAUGCGCAGAUAUCAGGAAGAACACCGAUGGCGAAGGCAGUUCUCUGGGACGGUACUGACGCUGAGACGCGAAAGCGUGGGGAGCGAACAGG